GACGAACGCUGGCGGCGUGCCUAAUACAUGCAAGUCGAACGCUUCUUUCCUCCCGAGUGCUUGCACUCAAUUGGAAAGCGGAGUGGCGGACGGGUGAGUAACACGUGGGUAACCUACCCAUCAGAGGGGGAUAACACUUGGAAACAGGUGCUAAUACCGCAUAACAGUUUAUGCCGCAUGGCAUAAGAGUGAAAGGCGCUUUCGGGUGUCGCUGAUGGCUGGACCGGCGGUGCAUUAGCUAGCUGGUGGGGUAACGGCUCACCAAGGCGACGAUGCAUAGCCGACGUGAGAGGGUGAUCGGCCACACUGGGACUGAGACACGGCCCAGACUCCUACGGGAGGCAGCAGUAGGGAAUCUUCGGCAAUGGACGAAAGUCUGACCGAGCAACGCCGCGUGAGUGAAGAAGGUGUUCGGAGCGUAAAACUCUGUUGUUAGAGAAGAACAAGGACGUUAGUAACUGAACGUCCCCUGACGGUAUCUAACCAGAAAGCCACGGCUAACUACGUG
rnacentral:rRNA from 1 species